CUCUGGGGCAUAGAAUAAAGAUCCAUAUAGAAGGGCCACUUACGUCGGAAGCUUUGAAGUUUCUGUCCUCGCGCAUGUCGCAUUACGCAUGUUGGCCGCCAUUUUCCUAGCCAGUCAAUGACAUUUUCUGGCCAAUAAACGCGCUGUAUUGGCUGGCUGCUCCGCCUUCUGGCCAGUAAACUGCAUAUUUUUGCAUAAAAAAAUGAGGACAUGUUGCACCGCUGAGUGGCCCUUCUAUAUGGAUCUUUAUUCUAUGUCUGGG